rnacentral:ncRNA from 1 species
CUCGCAGGAGAGUGGGCCGUUGGCCCCGCCGAAGGCGCAAACUCCCAUAAACGCUCAGGCACAGGUACUGCGAG